UUCCAGACUCCUACGGGAGGCAGCAGUGAGGAAUAUUGGUCAAUGGGUUUACGCCUGAACCAGCCAAGUCGCGUGAGGGAAGACUGCCCUAUGGGUUGUAAACCUCUUUUGUCAGGGAGCAAUUGGCGCUACGUGUAGCGUUAUCGAGAGUACCUGAAGAAAAAGCAUCGGCUAACUCCGUGCCAGCAGCCGCGGUAAUACGGAGGAUGCGAGCGUUAUCCGGAUUUAUUGGGUUUAAAGGGAGCGUAGAUGGGUUGUUAAGUCAGUUGUGAAAGUUUGCGGCUCAACCGUAAAAUUGCAAUUGAUACUGGCAGCCUUGAGUACAGUUGAGGUAGGCGGAAUUCGUGGUGUAGCGGUGAAAUGCUUAGAUAUCACGAAGAACUCCGAUUGCGAAGGCAGCCUACUAAACUGCCACUGACAUUGAUGCUCGAAAGUGUGGGUAUCAAACAGGAUUAGAUACCCUUGUAC
rnacentral:rRNA from 1 species